GUGCCUCAAUCUAUUGAGUAAGGAAAUUAUUGGGCCUUGGUAACGCUCGGCUAUGUCCUGUUUGGGCGAUUUUAUUUUUGAGUGGGUCCAGGUCGUCCCCUUGAGUCACUCACCUACUUUGUGAGAGAUUCGGGUGAAGCGAUCUGCCCU